rnacentral:rRNA from 1 species
UACGAGGGGUCCAAGCGUUGUUCGGAAUACUGGCGUAACGGGUGUAGGUGGACUGAUCAGUCGGAUGUGAAAGCCCUGGGCUCAACCCAGGAAGUGCAUCCGAUACUGUCAGUCUUGAGUACUGGAGAGGGAAGUGGAAUUCCUGGUGUAGCGGUGAAAUGCGUAGAUAUCAGGAGGAACAUCGGUGGCGAAGGCGGCUUCCUGGCCAUGUACUGACACUCAGACCCGAAAGCGUGGGUAGCAAACAGGAUUAGAUACCCGCGUAGUCC